rnacentral:lncRNA from 1 species
GAUGAAUUGUAUAUAGUUAUUGAUACAACAUCUUCCAGUAUAAAUCUUAAAUGACAGCAAUAUCUGAAGUUACUUGUGUCUGCUUCCCUUCUUGAAAUCAACAUUUUGUUUUGAUUUUUCGGUACUUAAGUAAGGUCACUCAUCAGUGAGCAGGAAGUGUCUUCUCGGUACUUGUGUGAUGAAGGCCAAAAUUGGUUUUCUAACUUAUUAUUGUAGGUGCUUUAGAAAGUGCAAGUAUGUGUCACAAUAAUGCCUGGAAAUCAGCCAGUGGCUGGAUUAUUUGAGCUAUUUUGGCGUCUCUGCCAUCCUAUAGUUGUUCAGUUUUCUCUUUUGAAACGAGGCUAUCUAGAGGAUUUCAUGUUGUGGUUUAGGAAGGUAACUAUUCUUGGUUAUAGUGAAUGAUUUUGUUGGAUUAUUUGUUCAUUUGGCUAUCUUAAUGCAGUCCCAUGUGCAUACUUUUUGCAGGCAUCGGUGAAGAUUGGGAGGUAGAGAGGGAUUGCUCAAGUGGAAACAGAUCAAGAACCAGAAGGAGCUCAAGAUUUUGCUACUUCCUUGGUAAUAGCUUUGUGAGGUAAUUAAGCUAGCUACACGUGUGUUUGUUUUCUGCUAUAUCGAGGUCACUAUUCUAAUUUAGAAAAUAGAAACAUGAUGUGUGAUUUUAAAAGUAAUAGCAAAUGUUGUUAGCAUGAAUAGACUGUAUUGUACGUACUAACUAGCAACAAAGUCUAAUUCCUCCCACGUAGCGGUUGUCAAUGUAGACUUGACCAGCCCGGACUUUAUGUACUUCCUGCUUUAUUUUUUUCUUUGAUUUAGCGAACAUACAAAUGCAUGCGAUAAGUGUCAAAUUUAGCACUCAACGACACUUAUUUUCAAACAGAGGAAGUAGUUAUAAGUAGGUGUGCAGUUAAAAUUUAUCUGACUUUGGGUUUUCACAUCUUGUUCGAGGUCUUGAGCCCUCAUAAUUCAUUUGAACAUGUUGUAAUUUAUUUUUGUUUAUACUAUAAUCUGAACUAAUUAGAAAUUAUAUAAAUGCAUUUUCUUGAUAAAUUAAAGCUUAUGUUGAUGUGUAUUCGAUUUUGAUUUCUUUUCUUUCAUCAUAGAUCAGUUAAAUAUUAUCCAGGACCAUGCACCCGCCCUUGACAAUGGCUUCCAGAAGCUAAGGUUGCAGGGGUGAAUUAAAGUUCGAUUUUCCAGCAGCGGGGUAACUACUACUGAUG